AUGCCGCGCAGUGUUGCUGACGCUGCAGAAUUCUUCCGAGCCGAAGAGGGGAGCUCAACGGAGAAGCUAUUCUGGUCGCAAUACCUUGCACCAGAGCACCCAGUGCCCUUUAGCGAUAAGCUAAAACAGCUGACCGGACUGCAUAGGGUGGCCGAACUGGCCAUGAAGGAUUUGAUAAUCCGUUUAUGGCCUGCCGAAGCCAUACCCAGCAGCUACUUCAGGCUCGUGAAGUGGCUGGUCAAUGCCUACCCUCGGCUUGAUGCCAUUAAGCGGUCGGUCUGCAUCAAAGGUGCGCGGAUGGCCUUCGCCCGUGUCAAGGUGCAGUGGGCGAAGAUGGAUGCCGUCAAGCACGCGACCGAGGGACCGCCCGCGGGCAAGGAGCACCGCAUGCCCGAGUGGUAUUUUGAUGAUGUCCUGAAGGGAUCCCACAUUGUAGAGGGCCAGUGUUCAAAAGACAUUAUCUUUGAAUGA
rnacentral:rRNA from 1 species